UAAUAAGUAAUAUGAGGACGUCAGCCUUGUAUGAAUAAGGGGGUACCAUCCUCCAAGGCUAAGUAUAAUAUAUCUAGCGAUAGUGGAGAGUAACGUGAGUGAAAGGUGAAAAGUAAGUAGAUGACUAGUGAAAUAGAACCUGAACUAGUAAUCCUAUAAGCAGUUGGAGUUUUAGUAAAAAAUGACAACGUACCUUUUGCAUAAUGGGUCAGCGAGUUAGUUUAUAGAGCAAGAUGAAUAAUCUAAGCGAAAGCAACUAUAAUAAGUGGAUCAAAAAUAGUUUUAUGAACUAGACCCGAAGCCAAAUGAUCUUACUAUGGCCAGGCUAAAAAAGGGCCGAACAGGUGAAUGUUGCAAAAUUCUCUGAUGAGCUGUGGUAAGGGGUGAAAGGCCAAUCUAAUUUGGAUGAUAGCUGGUAUUCUGCGAAACCUAUUUAGGUAGGGCCUUUAUUUACACUUUUAUAUGUACAGCACUGAUCAUCAUACAUUAGCCAGAUAUUUAUAUCACUAUGUUAAAUUGGGGGGUCUCACAACUCUACCAUUGAUGGUUAACCUCGGAAGGAUAAUAGUGAAUGAUAAGGGCACAGUCUAUUCAUGAUAAGGUGGAUAGACAAAAGGGAAACAGCCCAGAGCACGUGUUAAGGUCCCAAAAUAUUGUUAAGUGAAUAUAAGAAAGUUUAACUCCUAAUACAACCAUGAAGUAGGCUUGGAGGUAGCCAUCUUUUAAUGAUAGUGUAACAACUCAGUGGUCCAUGUUUCCCUAAUCCCUUACAGGGAUUAGGGAAACACAAAAAGAAAAAGAAAUUUUUCUUGCAGUUUCCUAGGAAACAGGAGGAGAUAAGCGUCGAAAAUUAACGGGUCUUAGACAAUAUACCUACACCGUGACUAUUUAUAAUAUAUUCUAUUUUUAUUAUAAAUAAGGGUAGCAGAACAUUCAGUAUCUGAUUGAAGGGAAAUGUUUCAUUUACUGGACAGUACUGAAGAGAAAAUGCUGACAUGAGUAACGUAGAAAGGAGUUAAAACACUCCUCGCCGAAUACGAGAGGGUUUCAUGGAAAAGUUAAUCUGCCAUGAGUUAUACGGACUCUAAGGAUUAUAUGACGAAUGUUUAUAUCUGAUGAGAAUAAUAACACUGAAUUAUCUAUAUAUAAUAUCAUUUAAUCUGUAUGAGAUUGUACAGAGUAAAGGAUAGAUCAAGAAAAAUAAGUGUCACUAAAUUUAUAGUGAAUCCGUACCCUAAACCGACACAGGUUCGUAGGUAGAGAAUACUAAGGCGUAGAGAUAAUGCUUGUGAAGGAACUCGGCAAAUUGUGCCCGUAAGUUAGACGAUAAGGGUAACCAGAAUAAAAUAAUUAUAUUCUAAUUCUGAGUGUCACAUAAUCGAGGGCUGCGACUGUUUACCAAAAACACAGCAACUUGCUAAGACGAAUAGUACUUGUAUAAGUUGUGAACUCUGCCCAAUGCCAUGUCGUGUAAAGAAGGUGAUUUAUUUAGUAGUUAUACUAAAUAGUGUCACUAACUGAUGCCAUGGUGAAUGGCGGUCUUAACUAUAAGGAUCUGAAAGUAGCGAAAUUCCUUGGCCAUUAAAUGUGGUCCUGCAUGAAUGAGGUAACGUGGCCCUGCUGUCUCCACAAGCAUCUCAGUGAAAUUGAAUUAGCCGUGCAGAUGCGGUUUACCUUCAGUUAGACGGGAAGACCCUAUGCAGCUUUACUGUAACUUGAUAUUGUUUCUUCUAUAGCUAAGUGUAGUAUACAAGGGAGUAGAUAUUUUCUACAUCAGUGAAAUACCUUGAUUAGUCUAAAGAAGAAACUUACCUAAAUGACACUAAUCGAAUAGUUCUUCAUGAGAUAUUGCGAAGAUCUCUAGUUUACGUCUCUAUAAAUUAAAUAGGAUUUAAUUUUCAUUUUUUUUUUCUAUUAGGUUUAUGGAAAGAGGAGUUUAUUCUCUUCUUUCCAUAAAUGGAAUAGAGGAAGAAUUCUUCCUCUAUUCCAUUUAUAAUACAGCCCCUUUUAUAUUUAUAAAAUAUAAGAUAAACUGUAUAUGAAUAAUUUAUUAAAUUUAGUAGUCUGGGAAAAUAUCAGGUGGUCAGUUUGACUGGGACGGUAGCCUCUAAUAAAGUAUCAGAGGCCUUCAAAGGUAUGCAUAUAUUGGUCAGAAACCAAUGAACUAUGUAAAGUUUAUUAAAGCGUAAUAGUAUAAGCAUGCUUGACUGAAAGACUGAUAGGUCGAUCAGAUACGCAAGUAGGAUAUAGUGAUCCGGUGAUUCAUUAUGGAAUGGUCAUCGCUCAAGAAAUAAAAGUUACGCUAGGGAUAACAGGUUUAUCGUUUGCGAGAGUUCAUAUUGUCCAAACGGUUUGACACCUCGAUGUCGACUCAUCUCAUCCUCCAGGUGUAGUAGCUUGGAAGGGUUCAGCUGUUCGCUGAUUAAAGAGGUACGCGAGUUGG
rnacentral:rRNA from 1 species